rnacentral:misc_RNA from 1 species
GAGGGCGUUGGAGGAGAUAUUAUAUGCUAUGGUAGUACAGAAGUUUGUUGAAGCCGAUGUCUCGCUGGUUCCGGCUUUAUCUCAGCCGGCAGACUCCUCGCUGAGGGUUGACCAGUGGCCAUCCGAGGAGGAGAAGCUCGAGCAGCUCCAUUCGGCUGAGGCGUUUGAGAUGAUCAAGAAUCAUCUCACACUUAUUUUAGGACACCGGCUGGCGGAUUCGAACUCCGUUGCUCCGAUUAGCAAGCUUCGUGUUGGACAAGUGUACGCUGCGUCUGUGAUGUAUGGGUAUUUUCUCAAGAGGGUUGACCAGCGAUUUCAGCUUGAGAAGUCGAUGAAGACGCUCCCGUGGGGGUCGGAUGAGGAGGAGAGUGCUAUCAGGCAGGCGGUUGCUGAUGAACCGCAGCUGUCGGAUCGACUUAGCACUCCCCCUGAGUGGACUCCAUCGGCGGCUACCAUUGGUUCCGCGGUUGAUGACCACGGAAACAGGCAGUCACGGCUGAGGUCUUAUGUGAUGUCGUUUGACAAGGAGACACUGCAUCGGUAUGCUUCGAUACGUUCGAAAGAGGCCUUUAGUAUUAUUGAGAAGCACACAGAGGCUUUGUUUGGUAGGCCGGAGAUUAUGAUCAACCCAGGGGGAGGGAUUGAUUCAUCCAAGGAUGAGAUCAUCAAGAUCAGCUUUGCAGGUCUCAAAAGGCUUAUUUUGGAGGCGGUCACGUUUGGGUCCUUUCUGUGGGAUGUGGAGAGCUAUGUUGACUCCAGAUAUCAUUUUGUUACCAACUAGUUAAUCUGGGGAUUUAGAGGAGUGCAGAUUGCAGCUAGGGCUGGGUUUGAGUA